ensembl:snRNA U4 U4 spliceosomal RNA
AUUCUUUCGCAGAGGCGAUAUCGUAGCCUGUGAGGUUAAUCCGAGGCGUGAUCAUUGCUGGUUGAAAACUUUACCCAAUGCCCC